rnacentral:lncRNA from 1 species
AUGUAAUAUGAAUGUAGAAGCAUGCUGAAAUGAAUAUUUAUAUUAUACAUGUUGGACUUGAAAUUUGACUUAGGAGAAAACCUGCGUUUUGACCCGUCAUAUGCUUAAACUACCAGAUUUAGCUCUAGGAGCCGUGAUUCGAUUGUAUCAUUGCAGUAUUGUUGCGAUGGAUACCUGGGAUAGUUUAGAAGGCAUUUACGCUCGUGCUGGGAUGCCGAGCUUAUUUUUCAGCAGAGUUUAGGCUGUUUCGGGUCGUUGGGUGCUGUUCGAGUUAGCGGUGGACCCAGAUUCUUGUUUUGAUCACAGAUUGUGCCGAGGGCACGUGGGUUUGGUUUGUAGACCUGUUUUGACCCUGUUCACUUGACUUUGGCUAGUUGGAGCCUGAUUGAGCUCGACAGAGAUACGCUGCAUACUCGGUUGG